GGGGAAGGGAGAGGGGGAGGGGGAGGGGAAGGGAGAGUUGAUUAUCAGUAAUAUUGACAACUAUAGCUGCUGCCUAGGAAUUGCUUUCUUUCAGGAGCUACACAGUGUCUGCUCUUUAGGCUGUCAUCUGUGGUUGUCAUUUGCAUGUUCUUAUAACUCUUAAGAACAUGCUUUUAUUCUAGAUAUUGUUUUACAAAAUGGAAACUUAGCUGUUUAGAAGAGUCUGUAAACCUUGGCAGUUGACAUGACAGUGGAUUCUGACUGGAUUUUCUGCUCUGACCCCAAGACAAUGUCCUCAGCUGAUUCUGCUUGGACUAAGGUUCUAAACGGGGACUGGAAAACUUCUUUUGGCAAAGGGCCAGGGGGUAAACACUUUUGCUUUGUGGGCACUGUGGUAUCAGCUUCUAUUUCUUAACUUUGUUGCUGUAAUGUGAAGAAAGCCAUUGGUGCUGUGUAAAUAGAUGGGUGUGGCUAUGGUCCAAUUAGACUAUAUUUAUAGAAAAUGGAGAAGAGCUUGCUCUAAAGAACUAAAAUGGGCAAAUAUACACAGUCAAAAAUCACCUCAUGGUAGCAGUUGUUGCUUCAAAAACUCUACUUUUAGCAAUACAGGAAACUACUUCCCUUAUGUUCUUGGGUCUGAGGAAACAAAACAAUGAAGAACCGACAGUUUCCUGUUUCUGUCAGUAUCAGGCAGGAGAGAGAAAAAUUUCUUGCACUGGGAAGAAGAAAUAGGGAUAGUGAACCUGUGGGUCAGGAUGAGAAGCGAUGUUGGCCAGCUUUCUAAAGUUGAGUCUAGAAGGCAAGAGGAAGAUAGCUGAACAGAGAGAAAUAACAGCUGCCCAAGUAUGGGACUCACCGGAAAGCUUCUUCAUAAAGUGACGAAUUGGAAGAAGACCCUGGGCACCAGAUAGGAGCUGAGACUUCCAGGAAUAAAUCCUAUUACAGCCUGGGGAAAAACAGAGUCAUGGAGAGAGGAGACCAAUGAGGAGAGUAAAGGACAAUUAUUAGUCUUAACUUCCAAUGAAGCAAGUAGGUCAGUUGCCAGCUGCCGUGUGAGUCUGCUCACCCAGAAGCCUGCUCAAUGUGGCAGUACAAGAAAAGAGAAGAGGCCAUGUCUGAGACACACAUUGUGAAACCUGCACUGGUGAUGGGACCCUCUAAUUUGGUCAGACGGUAUGGCAACAUAAGUCAGUCCAGCUUUUGGCUGACACAAACAAGGAGUUACGCUCAAGUGCGCUGGAGCGUUCCCAUGAGCUGCCUGUUUUUGGUUUUAAUAAGGCUCCAUCUCUCGAGGUGUAUUAACGGUAAAUCAUUUUUGCUAAUUUAAAAACUAGGAAACAAAUGGAAACCUUGAGGUUUUUCCCCACAACAUGGCUACUUCUAAUAUCAAGAUUGCCAGAGAGGUUUAGGGGAUGGGACCAUGGCUGUGAGAAGGAAUCGAAAAAGUGUUUUGAGGUGGGGAAGUAUUUUAAUAAGUGGAUUAAUCUCUGUGGUUGCACAGCCGAAGAAACCGGGCCAGUGACUUCAAGGUAGAAGUCCUCAGAAACUUCCUAGUCAAGUCUCUCUUUAAAACAGAAGAAGAAAGCGAGGCUAUGAGAUAACAUGGGCACCUGCCUAAAAAGUAUGCCUACUGCAUACUACAUGGGAGGUUGCUGACUGUUCCCAAGGGGUACUUGAAUUGUCUGCAUGUAUUUCAUGUUUGUUUGUUUUGCUGGUAGGAGUACUAAAAAGUUAUAGAGGCUCUUGGCGGAGGGGGGGGGUGUCUUCUCCUCUUGUAAUGUUGGCCAUAAUAUUCUGUUCUCUAACCAAAAUUGCUUUAUAUGACUUCCCUUCCUUUCCAUCAACUUUACACAGCUUAUUUACAGGGCCAAUCGCAGCCCAACAUAAUUUUAUCUAAUGUCUCCCUUCAAACUAGAGAAGCUAAUAGUACUAAUCUCAUUGGAUCUACACAAGGAACACUUUAGUUCAUGUCUCAAAGUAUUCAGAAUAGAGCCUGCUGUACAAGGUUUGUGUAAACUUUGAGCUGUUUUAGAGACGUUGGUAUAAAGGGAGAAAAAAGCUGUUUUCUAAAAUUUUUAUCAUGCCCAAGACUGCCUGUUCUUAUAUCUGCUGGCAAAGGUCUGCUUUGAGGUCCUGACAUUAAUUAUAUUCUCAAGAAUUUCAUAGUAAGCCCCCAAAAUGGAUAUAGGAUGCUGUGAGCAAGGGUCAAAGAAAAGAAAAGAAAAGAAAAGAAAAGAAAAGAAAAGAAAAGAAAAGAAAAGAAAAGUCAUAGAGUCAUGUGUUAAGCAAUUGGUUAACAAUGGUAGCUUAGGCUUAUUAAGCAAGCAGCAUCUCUUACUGGGAGGGAGG
rnacentral:lncRNA from 1 species